UAUAUUUCAAACGGUCUUUUUUUACAAAAUAAUAAUAUUUUAUUCUAAAUUUUAAAAAUUUGAAUUCAAGGAUCCGCUUUCCAUUCAAAGCUCCUUAUAUGUAAUGGCAGUAAUGCUUACUUUCUUUUUAAUCUUUGGAUAAAAUCUGGCAGAAUGUCUAAGAAAAUCAGAAACUGGUCAAUUUUCUUAAGCUUUCUUUCUUUCAAGUUUUGAACUUAAAGGUUUUUUAAUUAUUCUUAAAGUUUUCACGUUUUUCUUUUCUAUGGAUAAGUAGACACUGGUCUCUUUAUCCAUCUUUAAGCUAGAAAUUGGUUAUCAAUUAAGGGUACACAGGAACCGAGCCGGACCGACGGACCGUUCCGGAACCGGUGGAACUGUACCUGGUUUUGUACCGAACCGAGGAACGGGGUACAGGUACCGGUCCUAAAAAUAGGAACCGAGGCUAGGGAGGUACAGGUACACGGUCCUGACCUAGUCCCGUGCCGAACCGUACCAUCUGUACUGAUUAGUUGUAGCCGUCAGAUUUAGGGGAUGAUAGAUCACCGUUGGAUUAAGUGGUGGUAUAUAAGCAAACAUUAUAGGGCUAGGGUUUCUAUUUUCAAUUUCGUUUCUUUUUUUCUUUACGUCUCUCCUCUGUCUCUGAGAAGUAGAAGAAGUGAAGAACUCCGUUGGAUUACUCCUCUGUCUCGUUGAUUGAUAUUGGUUUAUGUCUCAGUUCUUACUAUGAGGGUAAGACAAAGGGAAAAGAAAGGAACUGAACUGGAUUAAGUAUCAAUCAGAUUAUCUAAGGGAGAGGAGAAAGAGAAGGAAAAGGUUAGAGAUUUGUUGUAAAGAGAAGGAAAAGGUAAUCUUGAUUAGUUGCUGAAAUUUGUUAUUGUACUAGAGACAGGCUAAGGAAGCCAAUACAACUUGGUCUUCUAUCUGAUUACAUACCAGAUGAUGAUGUUGAACUUGAAGAAGCGUUACUUGGUCCUAUCAACAAUAAUGCCACCACCACAAGUGUUGCUGACAUGGAUUAGAAGAUCAAGAUUCAAGACUUUGUAUUUGUCAUUGCCACCACUGUCCAGUCAUUGCUACUGCAACACUAGUUGCACUGCUAGUUGUUCUUUUUUCAGAUUUUCUCAUUUUCAAG